CGAUUUUCCACUGAUGAGCGCCUUUAUUUAAGUGAAGCAACGGCAAAAUUUGAUGUUACCACUUAAGUGGUCAACGCACGCACAGUCUGUAUGCUCCCGCUGCCAGAUUGCCAGGAAGUCGCACGGCUGGAGAUUACUGGCUAUUUAAAUUGAUACGGAUUACACUGCAUGCUGCGUUCUAUGCGCUUGCCGCACCCUCCGACUGUUCAAAAGCGGUAUUCAAAAGCGAGUUUUUAUGGCUUUUAAGCCGUAACCGUUCCGGUUAUACGACCAGCAUCGCGUGGAGCAGAUCCUCCAACAACAGCAGAUCAGUCCUGAGCCGCUCAAGCCCUAACCAACUUUACUGCCAAGCGCAGCGGAAGCUGUUUAUUUCACCUAUUGACGAAUUCCACCAUUCCCA